AUGUACAAUUUGCUUCCUUUUUGGUGCCUCAAAAUGGCUCAAGGAGAUGCGGAGGGGAGCGGGAGCGGCGGGCGGAGGAGGCAUCAAUCAAGAACCUGGCUGUGGUUUCGCCGGCCGCGGCGUGCUGCUCUCGCCGCCGGCCUGCGCGGGGCCCAUCUCCAGGUCGCGGCCUGCCUGCGGCGGCGGCGGUGGUGGUGGCGGGGGCGUCCCGCCGCCGCAGCCGAGCAGCCGCCGGAGGGCCGCUACUCUCGCCGCCUCGACCACGGCCGCGACGCCGGCGAUCGGUCCCUGGGAUGGCUGCGGUGCCGCCGGCUGCCGUGGUGUGCCGCCGGUUGCCACGGCGUCCUGGGAGCCGAAGAAGAGCACAUUGGUGGGGAAGAUGGGCGACUCCGGAUCGGCCUCGGGGGGCUGCACGGUGGGCGCCUCGUCGGCGACGGCGCACCGGCAGAGCGGGCAGGUGGAGUGCGACCGGAGCCACAUGUCGACGCACUCGACGUGGAACGAGUGGCCGCACCGCGGCAGCAGGCGCGCGGCCUCCCCGGCGGCGAGCUCCGUGAUGCAGACGGCGCAGUCGGCCGCGGGGUCCCCCUGGGCGACCUCCCUCCGCGGCAGCGCCACGAUGGCCGUCUCGUCCAGGCCCCGCCCGUGGCAGGGGCCCCCGAAGACGAACCGCGGCCCCCGGCCCCUGCCGUCCGCUCCCCCGCCGCCGCCGCCGCCGCCGAUUGCGGGCGCGGCGCCCCGGUAGCGCUUGGCGCAGAGGAAGAGGUAGAAGCAGACGACGAAGGUGAUGAAGAUGGCGGCCGCCGCGGCCAGCAUGGUCGCCGCCGCCGCCACGGAUGUCCCCGUCACCGACAUCGAUCCGCCCUCGCCCCCCAAAUCGCGCCCUCUUCUCCUCCUCCCGACGACCCUCUCUUCCCCAGCCGCGCGUUCUCGGCUGGGAAUUGUGGGGGUUUGCUUGCAAGAGAUUUGUGUGUGUGUGUGUGUGUGUGA
rnacentral:rRNA from 1 species